ensembl:snoRNA small Cajal body-specific RNA 12
CCGGCUGAUGAGACCAAGGCGAAUGUGAUUCAUGCUCUCUGCCCCUUGGCUCCUGGGCUGAGGGCUGCAGAUGAGGUCUGGAAUCUCGGUGGGGACUCUGAGGCCUAGCUCCGCACCUUAAGGCUGGACCCAUAGCACUGCUGGCCUUGCUUUGCCCUUGAGGCUGCUGCUACCCUGGCUCCAGCAGCAGCCUGCAGGAAGGCCCACAGGCAGGGCUGCAGGUGGGGUGGGCAGAAGCCAUGUGAGCACAGCUUGGAUCUGACG